UGGGGCUCGUUUAUUUCUGGAGGCGCUGGAUAUACUCCGCCUCGCCUAGUAUGGAGAGAAGAGUUCGAGUCUCC